CUCCACCGCCCUCCGGCCUGGGCCCGCCUCCACCCAGCCUCUCCGUGGCUCCCCGGGCUGCCCCCGCCCCGCCCCCCCCCCCCCCCCCCCCUCCCCCGCCGUCGCCCCAUCCCCCCAGCCCCCACCCUCGGCUGCUGCCCGAGCUUCCUCCACACGCCGUGCAGUCUCCACGGCGACGCGGCGUCCCAGACUCGGAGCCCAGAGCCCAGCGCGAGCAGCUAGCCGGGCUGGCUCUCGGUGUCUGCCCUUCGGAUGGUCGGCUGGAGAGAGCCGCCAGCUGGUAAGACACUCCGAGGCAAAGACCGGUCUCCUUCUCCCCAGCCCCGUGUGCAGCCUGACCCAGCCGCCACAGCAGACCACCCCCAGACCCGGCGCCCGAGCCUGCGGACUGCUCUACCGCUUCUAGUUCGGGCUCUGGGCCCCGCGGCUGCCAGGCGCCGCCGGGAAGGGAGGAUGCGUGCGGCUGGGGUGCGCCUGGCUCGCGGCACCCUCCUCCCGCCAUGGUCGGAAGAGACAGCAAAGAACAGACAGAAUGGCAGAUUGCUAAUGUCUGAUCCAAAGGAAAAAGUGACGAUUGAAUCAAAUGAAGCAAUGUCAGAUAAAUGUCUCUCUGGACACAGACCAAGAUUGACAAGCAAACUUAAUACCCCACCAACACAGAUCUCUCUAAAUGUAGCUAAGACAUUCUCAGAAAAGUAAGUUUUAAUUAAUUUUGUUUUUAGGCCCAUGUUUGACAAGUAUAAAUCAUUUUAUGACAAAGUUUAAAAUAGAAAUCUCCUGAAAAAAUUAUUAAUUUCAAUAGAAGUUUUGGGAUACUUCCUAAAUAUACCCAACACACUGAGGGAAAAAUUCUAAAACUUAGGUUAUCUGCCCUCUAUCAUAAAUAUGUUCCAAUGGAGUGUCUAACCUGAUUAGCUCUGUAAUUUUGUUAAGUACUAAAUUUUGCAUUUCCAAAGGAUAUUACUACAUGAAGUAAAAUUUUAAAUCUUUCCUCAGUUGUAAUUAUAGUUAACAAAAACAGAUCUGUUAUAGUAUACUAGUUAUCUGUUUUUCUUAAAUAGGGGCCUUAUGACCAUAAAUAACAUCACUUUCUCAAAUAGAAGUCAAUAGAUUUUAGGUGAAGAGGAAAUUGACCUUUGGGCCUCUGAUUCUUUGAAAGCUAUGCAAGAAAGACCAUAAGAAGUGAACAGAAGGGCGGGGCGCGUGGCUCAAGCCUGUAUCCAGC
rnacentral:lncRNA from 1 species